UUAUUUUUGGUAAAACGGAUUGCCAUACCCAACAUUAUUUGUUGCAACUUACUGGUCACAAGGAAAAGAAGAAAAAGAUGUUCCACAUUUCAUGAUACUUUAGGAUAAACCAAUCAUCAUAAGUUCCUGAACCAAUCUUUAAGAAGCUGGAGGACAUUAUACUUAUCCAUCAAAUGUGAAAACAGCCUUUUGUGAUCAUAGUAUUUGUUAAACAAUAUUUAGAAAAAAAUUGCUUGAAAAUAUCACAUAGCACAACAAUUCAAUCUGAAAAAUAUGGAACAGAUUAAUGCUUACCGAUUUGUUACAGAAGGAAAAAAAUAAUAUCACUAAUUUGACUUACAUCUUUGAAUGAAUAUUAUUAGAUGCCACAGCCAUUUUGUGGUUCCCGCAAUACUAGAACAAGCGGCGACGAAGGCGAAAAUGAACAAUGCGAUCGUAAACAAACAAAAAAUAGCUAAAUAAAGUAUCUUCUCCAUAUAAACACUUUCACAAUUAUUAUCUAACUUCUGUGGUUUGAUGAAUUGCACAUUGUAAGGCAAGACUACUUCUAUUGGGUGAGAAGAAGUACAAAAACAAAUCCCUCUUCCUGUGAAUAGCAACUUCAAAAAAAAUUAUUAGAAAUGAAAUGGAGCGUCAAAUAACAUUUUUACAAAAUCAUUUUUAUUGAAAUGGCAAUAAAAACACAGCAGGUGGUAUGCAAAUUGUACACU